rnacentral:lncRNA from 1 species
AAGAAGGAGGGAGGGAGGGAAAUAGAAAGAAAGAAGGAAAGAAAAAGAAAGAAAGAAAGAGAAAUAAAAUAAAAAUUAAAAAACCAUAAGGUUAAAGUAAACCCUUUUUCUUCAUACAGAUUAAAACACAUGACUUCAAAUUACAGCUUUGCUUCUUAAUAGCUUGGUGAUGUAGGACGUUAUGUAACCUCUCUGUGCCUCAGUUUCCUCAUUUAUAAAAUAGGGCAAUAAUAAUAUCUAGCCCAUAAGGCAUUGUGAGGAUUAAAUGUGAAAUGCUGAUCACAAAUACCUAGCAGCCCAAUAGAUACUCACUGUAAUAAUUAUUAUUUUUAUAAUUUCUGCAAAAGUAUGGUGAUGAUUCUUGGGUUAACCUAAAGGCAGAUUUUCUUUUAUUUCUUCCUGUUUCUUUUCUUUUCCUUGUUCACUUUAAAGAAUUAAAAAGAAAAUUGAUUCCAGCAUUUUGGAAUAAAAAUUUGCAUCAAAAAGAAUUUAUUCAUUUUAUUGACAUACAAAUAAAAUGUCAUUUGUUUAUUCAAUAAACAUUUAUUAAAUGUCUGGUAAAUUUCAGACAUCAUGCCAGGCACAGGGAUGACAAUGACAAUAAGAUGUGGUCUCUGCCCUCAGGGAGCUGAUAGUCCAGGAGACUGACAAGUAGACAGGUGAUUACAUGCAAUGUAACAAAGGCUAUGAUGUCAUACAAGAAGACAAGUGGGAGUAUGUGAUGGGAGUAUGGUUUUGACCAGUUCCUCCUCUUAGAUUUAUCCCUUUUUCUUUGGCUAUAAAGCAAAAGAAUUGGUCCUAUUUUUUUUUCUUAACUUUGCAAAUUAAACCAUAAAUUUUAAUAACUUUAUAAAGAUAAAAGGCAAGCGGUCAGAUUCAGUGGCUCACACCUAUAAUCCCAACACUUUGGGAGGCCGAGGCAGGUGGAUAACCUGAGAUCAGGAGUUCGAGACCAGCCUGGCCAACAUCGCGAAACCCUGUCUCUACUAAAAAUACAAAAAUUAGCUAGGUGUGGUGGCAGGCACCUGUAAUCCCAGCUACUCAGGAGGCUGAGGCAGGAGAAUCGCUUGAACCUGGGAGGCGGAGUUUGCAGUGAGAUGAGAUGGAGCCAUUGCUCUCCAGCCUGGGCUACAGAGCAAGACUCUGUCUCAAAACAAAACAAAACAAAACAAAACAAAAAGAUGAGCAACUUGAAUUAUGGAGGACACUAGAAAUAGUGUUUCCUACAGAAUCAGGGCUUCCUACCAACAUAGUCACUUCUAGGGUUUUCGACCUGAAAAGUUCUGUGGCAUAUUGUUUCUUUGCUAUCCACUUUUUUUUCCCUAUUUUUCCCCCUCUUUCUCUCCUCUACUUUAUCUCCUAGAGAUCUAGGUAGUUCCCAAAGGAAUAAUGCUUUACGGAGUCUAAUGUUGAUUUAUUAGGUAAAAACAGAAAAUGACUUUUUUUUUUACCCACAAGUUCCAUACCAAAAAAUGAAUGUAAACUUCUUAUGCAGUUUCACACAUUGAAAAUGCAGGUUAUUUUAAUUCCAUUGCAUUUUUCAGAAUUCUCAAUCGCAAUCCUCUGACAACUGUUGAAGAUCCGUAUCUCUUUAAAUUACUGGCAUUAAAAUAUCUAGACGUGGGAACAACGCAAGUCCCACUUACAACACUUAAGAACAUUCUCAUGAUGACCGUUGAACUGGAAAAACUGCCCCAGGACCUCCAAGCAACUUCCUCUCCUUCAUCAGCAGUUGCCAGCAGUCAUCCUCUGGGCUCUGCCAGCAAGUUGGCAGCAGGGUAGGAUUCACACCCCUUGGCUUCUACCUCACAGUUACCACCAAAGGCCUUUCCAAUUUAAAAAAGCAAUUUUAGAAAUUGAACCAGAGGAAUAACCACCAUGUACAAAUCAAAAAGCAUAGAGGGGCUUAUAAUGAGAAGUUGUGCUCCUCUGUCCUACCUUAACUCCCUCUGAAAUCCAGGCUCCCUAUGAUCAAUCCCCUUGACCUUUCAGUUCUCUGGGUAGAUUUCUUUUCUUUUCUUUUCUUUCUUUCUUUCUUUUUUUUUUUUUGAGACAGAGUCUUGCUGUUGCCCAGGUUGGAGUGCAGUGGUGGGAUCUCAGCUCACUGCAACCUCCUCCUCCUGGGUUCAAAUGAUUUUCCUGCCUCAGCCUCCCGAGUAGCUGGGAUUACAGGUGCCCACCCUUACGCCUAGCUAAUUUUUGUAUUUUUAGUAGAGACAAGGUUUUACCAUAUUGGCCAGGCUGGUCUGGAACUCCUGACCUAACCGCCCACCUCAGCCUCCCAAAAGUGCUAGGAUUACGGACAUGAGCCACCAUGCCUGGUCUGGGUAGAUUUUUUUUCUUUUGAGAUGGAGUCUCGUUCUUGUCGCCCAGGCUGAAGUGUAGUGGUGUGGUCUCCACUCACUGCAACCUCCGCCUCCCACGUUCAAGUGAUUCUUCUGCCUCAGCCUCCAGAGUAGCUGGGACUUACAGGCGUGCACCACCAUGCCUGGCUAAUUUUUGUAUUAUUAGUGGAGAUGGGGUUUCACCAUGUUGGCCAGCUGGUCUCGAACUCCUGACCUCAGAUGAUCCACCCGCCUUGGCCUUCCCAAGUGCUGGGAUUACAGGCAUAAGCCACCAUGCCCAGCCUGGGUAGCUUUCUUAUACUGCUCUUUCUUGUUUUAUCAACUUUCAUUUAAGCCCUGUGAUGGCAAAUGAGAGCCAAGCUCACUUAACCAUUUUCCCACCUCCAUUUUUG